UAGCUCAGUGGUGGAGUGCUUGCCUAGCAUCCAGGAGGCCCUGGGUUCCAUUCCCAG
rnacentral:tRNA from 1 species